rnacentral:rRNA from 1 species
UACGGAGGGGGCUAGCGUUGUUCGGAAUUACUGGGCGUAAAGCGCACGUAGGCGGCUUUGUAAGUUAGAGGUGAAAGCCCAGGGCUUAACUCUGGAAUUGCCUUUAAGACUGCAUCGCUAGAAUCGUGGAGAGGUGAGUGGAAUUCCGAGUGUAGAGGUGAAAUUCGUAGAUAUUCGCAAGAACACCAGUGGCGAAGGCGGCUCACUGGCCCGGUACUGACGCUGAGGUGCGAAAGCGUGGGGAGCAAACAGG